ensembl:snoRNA
AUGCAUGAUAUAUAUUGAAAAAAAUACAUGAUUAAGAAAACAGGAAUACAUCCAUAACAUCCUACAUUAAAAAAGGAGUUCUCAGGGCUGCCAACCUUAUAGCAGAGGUUGAGUAAUAGUAUGUUUCUCCUACAUAA